rnacentral:tRNA from 1 species
GUGUGUAAGAGUUGGGCUCAUAGAUGAUUUGAAAUCAUUUAGUUCGUAUUAGUAUGCGAUACAUACUA